rnacentral:rRNA from 1 species
GACGAACGCUGGCGGCGUGCUUAACACAUGCAAGUCGAACGGAAAGGCCUCUUUCGGGGGGUACUCGAGUGGCGAACGGGUGAGUAACACGUGAGUAACCUGCCCUUGACUUUGGGAUAACUUCAGGAAACUGGGGCUAAUACCGGAUAGGAGCUCCUGCUGCAUGGUGGGGGCUGGAAAGUUUCGGCGGUUGGGGGUGGACUCGCGGCUUAUCAGCUUGUUGGUGGGGUAGUGGCUUACCAAGGCUUUGACGGGUAGCCGGCCUGAGAGGGUGACCGGCCACAUUGGGACUGAGAGACGGCCCAGACUCCUACGGGAGGCAGCAGUGGGGAAUAUUGCACAAUGGGUGGAAGCCUGAUGCAGCAACGCCGUGUGCGGGAUGACGGCCUUCGGGUUGUAAACCGCUUUCGCUCAUGACGAAGCUUUGUGUGACGGUAGUGGGUAAAGAAGCACCGGCUAACUACGUG